rnacentral:SRP_RNA from 1 species
GCCGGGUGUGGUGGUGCACACCUGUAAUCCCAGCUACUCAGGAGGCUGAGGCAGGAGAAUCGCUUGAACCCGGGAGUCGGAAGUUGCAGUGAGCCGAGAUCAUAUCACUGCACUCCAGCCUGAGUGACAGAGCAAGACUCUGCCUCAA